AGGAUAAGUGAUCAGAACUGUCAGCAUAUGAAACUCGGAUAAUAAAUAACAUUUAUCUGAAACUCUGAGGUCCAA